rnacentral:tRNA from 1 species
AGGGGAGUAGCUCAAUUGGCAGAGCGCCGGCCUCCAAAGCCGGAGGGUGCAAGUUCAACUCCUGCCUCCCCUG